AGGGGAGCUCAGACCUGCCAUGCCAGGCUGCCUUUCACAAUGGCUUCAGCAGCAGCAGUGGGAGAUAUGCCCAGUGCCUUCCCCAGCACACAUUCCCAAUUUGGACUUUACUCCAGUAACAAUUCUAACCCAGCCUUUGAACAUCCAAUACUCCCCUUCUCUUUUCUGAAUCAGACUUAAAAGUUUGUCACUUCUUUCAGAGAGAGUAAAAACGGCCAUUUGCCCAUUCUUAUUUUUCUUUUACCACAUGCUGUUCUGUUUGCAUAUACUUUCUGAUCACAAGUACUUAAUCUUUUUUUUUUUUCUUUCCAUGUUUCCUUCUUUCUUUUCCAUUUGACUUUUUUUUUGUGUGUGUGUGUAAGAGAUGCAUGUUUGGAUACCUUUGUUAAAUUCAGUUCUUCUAGAAUUAACAUUUGAAAUAUUGUAGAAAAGUUCUGUAAAUCUAAAGCAUUGGGAAGAUCUUAAAAUGGACUUUACCUUUUUUUUCCUCCAGCUAUUGCAUGGUUGCUGCUAAAAAGAUUCUGGAUUCUUCAUUAAAAUUUCCCCAAGAAUUAAACAUUUUCCCCCAGCAUCUGGAAAUCAUGGCAGACCAAAAGUAAAACGGAACCAUGUGUAGAAGACAACCAAGACAGUGGGAAGACUUGGAAAUGCCAGAACAGGCUGAUUUACCAGUUUGCUGGAUUACUUCUUUAUAUACAAGUCAUGAGUCUGAUGCUUCCAGGUCUUUCUGGG